rnacentral:rRNA from 1 species
GACGUAGGGCGCGAGCGUUGUCCGGAUUUAUUGGGCGUAAAGAGCUCGUAGGCGGCUUGUUGCGUCGGCUGUGAAAACCCAUGGCUCAACCGUGGGCUUGCAGCCGAUACGGGCAGGCUAGAGUUCGGUAGGGGAGACUGGAAUUCCUGGUGUAGCGGUGAAAUGCGCAGAUAUCAGGAGGAACACCGGUGGCGAAGGCGACUACCUGGCCUGUUCUUGACGCUGAGGCGCGAAAGCUAGGGGAGCAAACGGG